rnacentral:rRNA from 1 species
AGAUGAACGCUAGCUACAGGCUUAACACAUGCAAGUCGAGGGGCAGCAUUUCAGUUUGCUUGCAAACUGGAGAUGGUGACCGGCGCACGGGUGAGUAACACGUAUCCAACCUGCCGAUAACUCGGGGAUAGCCUUUCGAAAGAAAGAUUAAUACCCGAUGGUAUAAUCAGACCGCAUGGUCUUGUUAUUAAAGAAUUUCGGUUAUCGAUGGGGAUGCGUUCCAUUAGGCAGUUGGUGAGGUAACGGCUCACCAAACCUUCGAUGGAUAGGGGUUCUGAGAGGAAGGUCCCCCACAUUGGAACUGAGACACGGUCCAAACUCCUACGGGAGGCAGCAGUGAGGAAUAUUGGUCAAUGGGCGCAGGCCUGAACCAGCCAAGUAGCGUGAAGGAUGACUGCCCUAUGGGUUGUAAACUUCUUUUAUAUGGGAAUAAAGUUUUCCACGUGUGGAAUUUUGUAUGUACCAUAUGAAUAAGGAUCGGCUAACUCCGUGCCAGCAGCCGCGGUAAUACGGAGGAUCCGAGCGUUAUCCGGAUUUAUUGGGUUUAAAGGGAGCGUAGGUGGACAGUUAAGUCAGUUGUGAAAGUUUGCGGCUCAACCGUAAAAUUGCAGUUGAUACUGGCUGUCUUGAGUACAGUAGAGGUGGGCGGAAUUCGUGGUGUAGCGGUGAAAUGCUUAGAUAUCACGAAGAACUCCGAUUGCGAAGGCAGCUCACUGGACUGCAACUGACACUGAUGCUCGAAAGUGUGGGUAUCAAACAGGAUUAGAUACCCUGGUAGUCCACACAGUAAACGAUGAAUACUCGCUGUUUGCGAUAUACAGUAAGCGGCCAAGCGAAAGCAUUAAGUAUUCCACCUGGGGAGUACGCCGGCAACGGUGAAACUCAAAGGAAUUGACGGGGGCCCGCACAAGCGGAGGAACAUGUGGUUUAAUUCGAUGAUACGCGAGGAACCUUACCCGGGCUUAAAUUGCAUUUGAAUAUAUUGGAAACAGUAUAGCCGUAAGGCAAAUGUGAAGGUGCUGCAUGGUUGUCGUCAGCUCGUGCCGUGAGGUGUCGGCUUAAGUGCCAUAACGAGCGCAACCCUUAUCUUUAGUUACUAACAGGUCAUGCUGAGGACUCUAGAGAGACUGCCGUCGUAAGAUGUGAGGAAGGUGGGGAUGACGUCAAAUCAGCACGGCCCUUACGUCCGGGGCUACACACGUGUUACAAUGGGGGGUACAGAAGGCAGCUACCUGGUGACAGGAUGCUAAUCCCAAAAGCCUCUCUCAGUUCGGAUCGAAGUCUGCAACCCGACUUCGUGAAGCUGGAUUCGCUAGUAAUCGCGCAUCAGCCAUGGCGCGGUGAAUACGUUCCCGGGCCUUGUACACACCGCCCGUCAAGCCAUGAAAGCCGGGGGUACCUGAAGUACGUAACCGCAAGGAGCGUCCUAGGGUAAAACUG